rnacentral:rRNA from 1 species
UACAGGGGGGGCAAGCGUUAUUCGGAUUCACUGGGCGUAAAGGGUGCGCAGGCGGCCAAGUGUGUCAGGUGUGAAAUCCCGGGGCUUAACUCCGGAACUGCGCCUGAAACUACUUGGCUAGAGCAUUGGAGAGGGAAGUGGAAUUCACGGUGUAGCAGUGAAAUGCGUAGAUAUCGUGAGGAACACCAGAGGCGAAGGCGACUUCCUGGACAAUUGCUGACGCUCAGGCACGAAAGCGUGGGGAGCCAAAGGG